AUGGCAGGACACGAUCAUCACCACCACAACAACAACAACAACCACCUUUCUCUGUGUUUCUGUGAUCUAAUGAGGCUGCUGUGGUCUCUGGUUGUUCCCUGUGUUUACCUCAGCCUGCUGCUGACCCUGCUGCUGCUGCUGCGCCUGCUGGGGCUCAGAAUGUGGCUGCAGGGCCAACGCAAGGCCCGCCGGGCUCGGGACGGCGGGCCGGCCGUGGCUUUCUUCCACCCGUACUGCAACGCUGGAGGAGGCGGGGAGCGGGUCCUGUGGUGCUCCCUGAGGGCCCUCAUGCACCGAUACCCCGGCGUCUCCUUCGUGGUUUACACGGGUGAUCAGGGAGUGACCGGUGAACAGAUUCUGGAGGGAGCCAGACAGAGAUUCAACAUCAUCCUUCCUCAGCCUGUCACCUUCAUCUUCCUGAAUCACCGCACGCUGGUGGAGGCCAGCUCUUACCCUCACUUCACCCUGCUGGGACAGAGCGCUGGAUCCAUGUUCCUCGGCUGGAAGGCGCUGACAGCCUUUGUUCCUGACCUGUAUGUGGACUCAAUGGGCUACGCCUUUACGCUGCCAAUCUUCCGCUACCUGGGAGGCUGUAAGGUGGCGAGCUAUGUUCACUAUCCCACCGUCAGCACUGACAUGCUGUCUGUGGUCAGAGAGAGAAACCCCAGGUUUAACAACGCUGACUUCAUCUCUAGAAACCCUGUGCUGAGUGCAGUAAAGGUGGUAUACUACUGCUGCUUCGCCCUGCUGUACGGCCUGGCUGGCUCCUGCAGUGAUGUCAUCAUGGUGAACUCCACCUGGACCCUGGGACACAUACUGGCUCUGUGGCGCUCCCCCAACCGCACCAGCAUCGUCUACCCGCCCUGCGACGUCAGAGCCUUCCUGGACGUCCCGCUGGAUGAUGAAGACGAAGAGGAGGUGGAGGAGGGCUGGGAGGAGCUGGGACGAGAGCUGCGAGGUGAAGAGGAAGUAGGAGGAGACAGGAAAUGCCACUCCAUCGUGUCAGUAGGUCAGUUCCGGCCGGAGAAGGACCACCGGCUACAGAUCAGGGCGUUUCGCAAAGUGCUGGACUGGAAAGGAGACGGGCCAGGGGGGCGGGAGUCCCUGAGGCUGGUGCUGAUUGGUGGGUGCAGGAACCAGGAGGAUGAGGAGAGGGUGCUGAUGCUGCGAGGACUCUGUCAGGAGCUGGCUGUGGAGGACAGAGUCGACUUCAAACUCAACGUGCCUUUUGAACAGCUGAAGAGAGAGCUGGUGGACGCUACCAUCGGUCUACACACCAUGUGGAACGAACACUUCGGCAUAGGCGUAGUGGAGUGUAUGGCUGCAGGCACCAUCGUCCUCGCCCACAAGUCCGGCGGUCCAAAGCUGGACAUCGUGGUGCCGUAUGAGGGAGGACAGACGGGCUUCCUGGCCGACACCGAGGACAGUUACGCUGCUGCCAUGGAAACCAUCCUGACGCUGUCACCAGCAGCUAGACUGGAGAUCCGACGUAAUGCCCGGCGCUCCGUGGAGCGAUUCUCUGACCAGGAGUUUGAAGCCUGUUUCCUCUCUGCCACAGAGUCUCUGAUGAGUAAACUGGAGUGAUGAGGACACAGGCUGAGAGCCAGCAUCCACCACAACACAACCUUCAUGUUAAACACACAUAUGAAAAACAUGCUAUCCACACUAUUAGUCAAGUAUGACACAGUGCUUCAUUUGCACUUCAAAUAAUAGUAAAAGAUAUAAGAAGGAUUUCCUGGUGGACACACAGUUACUAUCAUAAAGGAAACAAAUAGAGGAUGCUGCAUGUGUCAAACUGGUGUGAUUGACAGGUGUUUGUUUAGCUUUCAUGUGGAUGACAGGAGAGCCAAAAGCAGCAGGACUGUUCACCAGACCAACAGAGACAUGAAGGAGUUUUGAAGCAUCCAG